GUUUGAUACUGGCGAUAGACAACGUUCAAGAACUACAUUUGUUGGAACUCCAUGCUGGAUGGCUCCCGAAGUGAUGCAGCAACUACAUGGAUAUGAUUUUAAAGCAGAUAUAUGGUCAUUUGGAAUAACAGCCCUUGAACUUGCUCAUGGUCAUGCACCAUUCUCCAAGUACCCACCCAUGAAGGUUCUGCUGAUGACCCUACAGAAUGCACCUCCAGGCCUGGACUAUGAACGGGACAAGAGAUUCUCUAAGUCUUUUAAAGAAAUG
rnacentral:misc_RNA from 1 species